UCUGGGAUAACAGCUGGAAACAGCUGCUAAUACCGGAUACGAGCUGCGAAGGCAUCUUCAGCAGCUGGAAAGAAUUUCGGUCAGGGAUGAGCUCGCGGCCUAUCAGCUAGUUGGUGAGGUAAUGGCUCACCAAGGCGUCGACGGGUAGCCGGCCUGAGAGGGUGACCGGCCACACUGGGACUGAGACACGGCCCAGACUCCUACGGGAGGCAGCAGUGGGGAAUAUUGCACAAUGGGCGAAAGCCUGAUGCAGCAACGCCGCGUGAGGGACGACGGCCUUCGGGUUGUAAACCUCUUUUAGCAGGGAAGAAGCGAAAGUGACGGUACCUGCAGAAAAAGCGCCGGCUAACUACGUGCCAGCAGCCGCGGUAAUACGUAGGGCGCAAGCGUUAUCCGGAAUUAUUGGGCGUAAAGAGCUCGUAGGCGGUUUGUCGCGUCUGCUGUGAAAACUGGAGGCUCAACCUCCAGCCUGCAGUGGGUACGGGCAGACUAGAGUGCGGUAGGGGAGAUUGGAAUUCCUGGUGUAGCGGUGGAAUGCGCAGAUAUCAGGAGGAACACCGAUGGCGAAGGCAGAUCUCUGGGCCGUAACUGACGCUGAGGAGCGAAAGGGUGGGGAGCAAACAGGCUUAGAUACCCUGGUAGUCCACCCCGU
rnacentral:rRNA from 1 species